UAAUACGGGAGACGGGGUGUGGAGAAAUAGUAUUAGCAGUUUAGCACGCACGAGGUAGCUGUGGAUGCGUGCUGGAACUUGUCUGUAAUUCCCCAGUUUUGGAGGGCCUUUUGGCCUUGAAAAAUAUCAACCUAUGUUGCAAGUUACAAAGACCAUCAGUCAAGCAUCGUUGUGGAGACAAGUGAGACUAAUCAAAGGCGUGGUCAUCCGUCACGUUACCAUGGCAACAGAUCGGCCAGUCGAGACCAGCAUCAGACAAAAGCUGACAAAGACAUUUGAGCCUGUGCAUCUUGACGUCAUCAAUGAGAGUUCCAUGCACAAUGUUCCCCGAGGCUCCGAGACGCACUUCAAGGUGGUGGUCAUCUCGGAGAGGUUUGACAAGGAGAGUUUGAUCAAGAGGCAUCGUCUUGUCAACGACACUUUGAAGGAGGAGUUGGAAGGACCUGUCCAUGCUCUAUCAAUUCAGGCCAAGACCCCUGCCCAGUGGAGUCAGAAUGCCAGCGUCAGCAAGUCACCACCUUGUCUGGGUGGAAUGGCCCAUGAACAAGCGCAAAAGAACCAAGGAAGGUGACAUCCACAAACAGAGUGGCCACGGAACAAGCACAAAGCAGGCCAGUUAAGGGAUCGAGGUGAUAAAAGACGUUGUCACUCCAACUUUCAAGACUUGCUGUCGUCAACGCCGCUUUGCAAGUAAGAGUGAUAUCUUCGAGAGUCAACUGUCUUCAAGAGAUCAUGCUGUUGGAUAUCACUGCAAUUAUAAAUUUGUUACUCGAGAAGUUUUAUGUAGGUUGAACUUGUUUUUCUUAAGCCUACUCCUUAGGCGUGUAUACAUCAUAGAGCUAUAUUAAAUUACUAGAGCACUGGCUCGAUGUACAAAGUGAUGCCUGCUGGGCGCGUCCAUGUUUGUGCACAAAUCAAUGGGAAACUCAAAAUUUUGUACGGCUAUUUGCAUAUCUGCAUUUGUGUUCUAAACAGGUGCAUUACCAAAGCUGAUUCACCCAAACUUGAAACACACGAUCAGCAAAUGAGCACAUUUCAUUUUGCUCUGCGCAAACAGCGCAAAUGCUGCUGCAAGUGAUUUUUACCGUUAUGCUUUUGAACCGUCAUGACGCUCUUAAGUUGUUUGCGUAAUGUUCUACUCGCACGUUGCAUUGUGAGUACACUUUCAAAUUUCACUCAAUUUUAUUUCGUCAUGUUCUACAAAUACACACAUGAACUCAAAAUGUCUGUGUGCAGGACGGCUUCAGAGUAACUCCUGGCGUAAGAAUGAGGAGUAAGCGCUCUAGUAAUUCAAUAUAGCUCUAUGAUAUACAUACACAUGUAAAAACAUCUCACUGCCAAAUGUUUAGUGAACUGUUUUUGUGUUGCUCAAAAUGUCAUUUUGAAAACCUUAAAAAAUAUCAGCUCUUUAAUACAGU